rnacentral:rRNA from 1 species
UACGGGGGGGGCAAGCGUUGUUCGGAAUUACUGGGCGUAAAGGGCUCGUAGGCGGCCAACUAAGUCGGAUGUGAAAUCCCCAGGCUUAACCUUGGAAUUGCAUCCGAUACUGGAUGGCUUGAAUCCGGGAGAGGGAUGCGGAAUUCCAGGUGUAGCGGUGAAAUUCGUAGAUAUCUGGAGGAACACCGGUGGCGAAGGCGGCAUCCUGGACCGAGAUUGACGCUGAGGCGCGAAAGCCAGGGGAGCAAACGGG